AGCGAAUCGAAUGCGGCAGAGGGAAGGCCGGAGUCGGGAAGGGCUCCCCGGAUGUGAGGAGAAAAGUGGACGAAGCAGGACGCUGGGGACACAGGGGGGAGCCACAGGAGGGGACUCGGCCCUGGGCCGUCCAUCCCCGCGGGCUUGUGCAGGGCACGACAGCUCCACGCUGUCCACUGUGCUGCCCGCUCCGGCCCGCCUCUUCCCGAUGCUGGGCAACCAGGGCCGUGCCCCUGGGAGGUGGGAGGCGCCACCAGUGUUCCCGAGGAGGGACGCCCAGGAGCUGGGGACCGGGGCACAUCCAGGACAACGAAGACUUGGUGCAGUGAUGUGGAGACGAAGGUUCUGGUUCCCUGUGGUGCCGCUUGAGUGCUUGGUGCCAGCACAGUGCUGA
rnacentral:lncRNA from 1 species